rnacentral:rRNA from 1 species
GACGAACGCUGGCGGCGUGCCUAAUACAUGCAAGUAGAACGCUGAAGAGAGGAGCUUGCUCUUCUUGGAUGAGUUGCGAACGGGUGAGUAACGCGUAGGUAACCUGCCUUGUAGCGGGGGAUAACUAUUGGAAACGAUAGCUAAUACCGCAUAACAAUGGAUGACACAUGUCAUUUAUUUGAAAGGGGCAAUUGCUCCACUACAAGAUGGACCUGCGUUGUAUUAGCUAGUAGGUGAGGUAACGGCUCACCUAGGCGACGAUACAUAGCCGACCUGAGAGGGUGAUCGGCCACACUGGGACUGAGACACGGCCCAGACUCCUACGGGAGGCAGCAGUAGGGAAUCUUCGGCAAUGGGGGCAACCCUGACCGAGCAACGCCGCGUGAGUGAAGAAGGUUUUCGGAUCGUAAAGCUCUGUUGUAAGUCAAGAACGAGUGUGAGAGUGGAAAGUUCACACUGUGACGGUAGCUUACCAGAAAGGGACGGCUAACUACGUGCCAGCAGCCGCGGUAAUACGUAGGUCCCGAGCGUUGCCCGGAUUUAUUGGGCGUAAAGCGAGCGCAGGCGGUUUGAUAAGUCUGAAGUUAAAGGCUGUGGCUCAACCAUAGUUCGCUUUGGAAACUGUCAAACUUGAGUGCAGAAGGGGAGAGUGGAAUUCCAUGUGUAGCGGUGAAAUGCGUAGAUAUAUGGAGGAACACCGGUGGCGAAAGCGGCUCUCUGGUCUGUAACUGACGCUGAGGCUCGAAAGCGUGGGGAGCGAACAGGAUUAGAUACCCUGGUAGUCCACGCCGUAAACGAUGAGUGCUAGGUGUUGGAUCCUUUCCGGGAUUCAGUGCCGCAGCUAACGCAUUAAGCACUCCGCCUGGGGAGUACGACCGCAAGGUUGAAACUCAAAGGAAUUGACGGGGGCCCGCACAAGCGGUGGAGCAUGUGGUUUAAUUCGAAGCAACGCGAAGAACCUUACCAGGUCUUGACAUCCCGAUGCUAUUUCUAGAGAUAGAAAGUUACUUCGGUACAUCGGUGACAGGUGGUGCAUGGUUGUCGUCAGCUCGUGUCGUGAGAUGUUGGGUUAAGUCCCGCAACGAGCGCAACCCCUAUUGUUAGUUGCCAUCAUUCAGUUGGGCACUCUAGCGAGACUGCCGGUAAUAAACCGGAGGAAGGUGGGGAUGACGUCAAAUCAUCAUGCCCCUUAUGACCUGGGCUACACACGUGCUACAAUGGUUGGUACAACGAGUUGCGAGUCGGUGACGGCAAGCUAAUCUCUUAAAGCCAAUCUCAGUUCGGAUUGUAGGCUGCAACUCGCCUACAUGAAGUCGGAAUCGCUAGUAAUCGCGGAUCAGCACGCCGCGGUGAAUACGUUCCCGGGCCU